UUUGAUCAUGGCUCAGAUUGAACGCUGGCGGCAGGCCUAACACAUGCAAGUCGAGCGGUAGAGAGGUGCUUGCACCUCUUGAGAGCGGCGGACGGGUGAGUAAUGCCUAGGAAUCUGCCUGGUAGUGGGGGAUAACGCUCGGAAACGGACGCUAAUACCGCAUACGUCCUACGGGAGAAAGCAGGGGACCUUCGGGCCUUGCGCUAUCAGAUGAGCCUAGGUCGGAUUAGCUAGUUGGUGGGGUAAUGGCUCACCAAGGCGACGAUCCGUAACUGGUCUGAGAGGAUGAUCAGUCACACUGGAACUGAGACACGGUCCAGACUCCUACGGGAGGCAGCAGUGGGGAAUAUUGGACAAUGGGCGAAAGCCUGAUCCAGCCAUGCCGCGUGUGUGAAGAAGGU
rnacentral:rRNA from 1 species